GUGGAGCUAUAAACAGAGACGAUGCAGCCUUUUGUUCUUGUGCAGCGUGAGGUAAAGAGGUGGCACUUGCUGCAAUUAAAACUACGUAUCUCAGAAAUACUUGGCGAGUGUCGGAGAAAAAUAUUGUGCGUUUUCAUUGAAUUGCUCGUCAUAAAUCAAAGAAGGAGCAGGAGCAGCGGACGAAGUGACGAGGACCAGAGGCGCAGCCGGGAAGGAAAGCAGUGACCGUAUAUAUCAGCAAGGCAGCUAAACCCGAGACUCUACAACUGUAGUGUCACCCACUCGCCCUCCUCCUCUAACCUAGUUAAUAAGAAGAUGACUGCAGAAGGGCCAUGGACUGAGGGGGUCGCCCUACUAUCUACCACCAAGACAACAGCCUAUUAAUGGAACAGAAGAAAAUGACCAGUUCAUUGAAUGACCGGAAGAAGACUGUGGUUGAGACAUCACUGAAAGAAGACUAUUCAUGUAAUCUGAUUUGGACUGUUCAUAAAUAAUCUGCCCAUGGCCAUAAUCUGGCCUAGGGCCAAAGUUGGGGUGGGGGCGGGUCGUGUUCUGUAAGGGUGGCCCAUGUUUGAAAGACGCAAAAUGGCUGACAUGGAUUAAACAAAAUGAGACAGUGUGCUCCAACAGUGAGACGAAACAUAAUGGUAACUUUGAACAGGGCUACUCCAAGGUCAGUGAGGGGCCCUGCAAACAACCAUCCAAGACAGUUUGAUAAGAGGAUGUCCAAGGGUAGACAAGUGAUGGGUUCCAGCCUCAUUAAUGAAAGGAUGUUGCCCCAUUAAGUGGACAGCACCAGUUAUAACAAGGGUUGUAAAUCUCAGCCAACCUAAUACAUUAGACAGCUGUGAAAACAGCAGCUAAAGUUAUAUUGUAGCAGUUGGUUGUUUCUUUGAAGUUAUUCAUACUGUUAAGAAGUAGGUUUGAGUUAACGGUGCUUCAGAUAAUCAUUGAGGUAGAUUUCAACAUAAGUAGAGAUAUGUAUAUUACCAACAGUAUAGGAGAAGCAUUCGGGGAAAAAACAUUUAAACAUAGAUCUGAAAUUUAAUUCGUCUUAGGAAAUGCUUCUCUUAUUUCUUAAAAUAUUGUUGGUACACCCUGAACAAAAUAAAUUGGUCAAUAAUUGGGACAGUGGAAAACAUAAGAGGAAUAACAGAAUUUGAUAAAAACAGCGCAUGAAAUACAAUGAAUAACAAAAUUCAAGCAGACCCUAAAGAACAGCAAGUCUGAGACAGACCAGAAGGAAUAUAACCAGUAAGUUUGGAAUGCUAAUUAGGAUGCAUAGAAAGAUCCCAAUGCCAGGAGAUUACAAUGUCUGUUAAACACCAUGAGAUCAUGUGAACCUGGGCUGUCCAUAAGAAUGCCCAUAACUGAUUAGGUAUUUGACAGGAUUGGGUGCACAGAAUAAGAGAGAAAGACACCAUGAGCAUACUAUGUGUGAUCAUUAUAACACUAAAUGUAUAAAAUGCUUUAUUUCAGUGUAAAAAUCAGGGUAUGUUAUUGAUUUUCAGAUCUGAGCCAAAGAUUGAUUGAAUAAUUUUGUAUUCACAUUGGGGCCAGAUUUGGGGAAUAUCCUUUGGCCCUCUCCCUACAUUAGCUGGUUUUUGCUUGAAUAAAAAC